rnacentral:lncRNA from 1 species
UUACUAUUAUGAACAGUGCCACAAUAAAUAUCGUUAUGCUCACAGUAUUUUAGUAUUUGUGAAAAUAUCUCUUACCGUAGGUUCCUAGAAGUGGUUUUCCCAAUGGAAGGGAAAUUGCACGUAUCAUUUUGCUAGUUUGUUUUUCUAAAUUAUCCUCCGUAGCAGUUGCACAAUUUUCCACCCACCAGAAAAGUGUGAGUGUGUGUGUUAUGACAGCUUUGCCAACAGAAUGUCUUGCCCAGCAUUUGGAUUUUCUCCAAUGUGAUUGGUUAGAAAGUGUGUUUUCAAUAUGCAUUUUUCUUAAAUAGGGAAAGGUAAGCAUUUUUCAUAUGUUUAAAGCCCUUCUGUGUAUCAUUUUCUAUAAACCGUCUGCUUGUUUAUUUGCCAUUUGUUGCUAUCUGCAGGGUUUUGUUGUUUUCCUUGUCUUUUUCUUCGUAACUUCUAAGAAUUAUUUAUGCAUUAAGGAAGUUGGCCCUUUGUGAUGUAAAUUACAAAUAUUUUCUUCCAUUUUAUCACGUCUUUUAGUUUUGUUUUGUUUUUGUUUUUGUCUUGCUCUGUUGCCAGAGCUAGACUGCAGUGGCGUGAUUGUAGCUCACUGUAGCCUUGGCCUCAUGGGCUCAAGCAGUCCUCCCCCCUCAGCCUCCCAAGUAGCUGAGACUGAGACUGCAGGCAUGCACCACCAUGCCUGGCUAGUUUUUUAAGUUUUUUUUUUUUUUUUUUUGUAGAGACAAGGUCUCACUCUGUUGCCCACGCUGGUCCAGAACUCCUGGGCUCAAGCAAUUCUCCCACCUCAGCUGGCCAAAGUGUUGGGAUUACAGGCAUGAGCCACUCCCAAGUAGCUGGGACUGUAGGCAUGCACCACCAUGCCUGCUGGUUUUUUUUUGUAGAGACAAGGUCUCACUCUGUUGCCCACGCUGGUCCGGAACUCCUGAGCUCAAGCAAUUCUCCCACCUCAGCUGGCCAACGUGUUGUGAUUACAAGCAUAAGCCACUGUGCCUAGCCUGUCAUGUCUUUUGGCUCUAUUUUAAUUUUCCUAUAAAGAUUUUUAAUUGUUAUGAUGUUGGAUUUAUCUAUUGUUUUUUAUUUUACUGCUUUUGAGUCAUGGUGGGCCUUCCCCAUUUCCAGAUUAUAAAAGAAUCUACCAUGAUCUAGUUUAGUGCCUGUUUCCUGGCUUUGCAUUUUGAUUUGAUCUAUUUGUUAUUUAAUCUGGUGUAUGUGUGAGGUAUGGAUCCGGAUUCAUUUUUUUUCCAAAUAGCCAUCUGUCUGUCUCUUCAUGCAUAGCACUGCCCUCUUCAUUAUGUAGACUUUAGAGUGUAUGUUUUAGUAUCUGGCAGAAUGUCCUCCUGUGGCUUUUCUUUUUUCAGUAUUUUCUUUACCAUACAUCCACAAAAUUUAAAAUCAAGUUUCUAGCUCCAGAAAAAGGAAGUGUUGGUAUUUUUAUUGGGACUGCAUUACAUUUAUAUAUUAGCUUGAGGAUAAUUAACAUCUUUAUGAUGGUGAAUCACCCUAUCCAAAGCAAGGAAUAUCUACUUUUGUGUCCUUCAGCAGUUUAAAGUUUUGCAUAUCUCCUGUUAAGUUUAUUCUUAAGUAUUUUAUCCUCUCUAUUGCUAUAGAGUCUUUUCUUCCAGAACCAAUUGAUUAUACAAACAGCUCUUCGGGUGAUUCUAAGGGAUAGCCAGGUUUG